UCUAGUUAGCAUUAUACCGCGAAACUGCGAAUGGCUCAUUAUAUAAGUUAUCGUUUAUUUGAUAGUACCUUACUACUUGGAUAACCGUGGUAAUUCUAGAGCUAAUACAUGCUAAAAAUCCCGACUUCGGAAGGGAUGUAUUUAUUAGAUUAAAAACCAAUGCCCUUCGGGGCUCCUUGGUGAUUCAUGAUAACUUCUCGAAUCGCAUGGCCUUGUGCCGGCGAUGGUUCAUUCAAAUUUCUUCCCUAUCAACUUUCGAUGUUUGGGUCUUGGCCAAACAUGGUUGCAACGGGUAACGGAGGGUUAGGGCUCGACCCCGGAGAAGGAGCCUGAGAAACGGCUACUACAUCCAAGGAAGGCAGCAGGCGCGCAAAUUACCCAAUCCCGACUCGGGGAGGUAGUGACAAUAAAUACUGAUACAGGGCUCUUUUGGGUCUUGUAAUUGGAAUGAGUACAAUUUAAAUCCCUUAACGAGGAACAAUUGGAGGGCAAGUCUGGUGCCAGCAGCCGCGGUAAUUCCAGCUCCAAUAGCGUAUAUUAAAGUUGUUGUGGUUAAAAAGCUCGUAGUUGAACCUUGGGCCUGGCUGGCCGGUCCGCCUCACCGCGUGUACUGGUCCGGCCGGGCCUUUCCCUCUGUGGAACCCCAUGCCCUUCACUGGGUGUGGCGGGGAAACAGGACUUUUACUUUGAAAAAAUUAGAGUGCUCCAGGCAGGCCUAUGCUCGAAUACAUUAGCAUGGAAUAAUAGAAUAGGACGUGUGGUUCUAUUUUGUUGGUUUCUAGGACCGCCGUAAUGAUUAAUAGGGACAGUCGGGGGCAUCAGUAUUCAAUUGUCAGAGGUGAAAUUCUUGGAUUUAUUGAAGACUAACUACUGCGAAAGCAUUUGCCAAGGAUGUUUUCAUUAAUCAGGAACGAAAGUUAGGGGAUCGAAGACGAUCAGAUACCGUCGUAGUCUUAACCAUAAACUAUGCCGACUAGGGAUCGGACGAUGUUAUUUUUUGACUCGUUCGGCACCUUACGAGAAAUCAAAGUGCUGG
rnacentral:rRNA from 1 species